rnacentral:rRNA from 1 species
CGUCUAGGCGGAUACGUCAGUCGGGUAUGAAAUCCUUCGGCUCAACCGGGGAACUGUGCCCGAUACUGCGUGUCUUGAGUGCAGCAGAGGAGAGUGGAAUUCCUGGUGGAGCGGUGAAAUGCGUAGAUAUCAGAAGGAACGCCGAUAGCGAAGGCAGGUUUCUGGGACGUUCCUGACGCUGAAACACGAAAGCUAGGGGAGCAAACAGGAUUAGAUACCCUGGUAGUCCUAGCUGUAAACGAUGUACAUUAGGCGUGGGGAGUUUUCCCCGUGCCGGAGCCAACGCGUUAAAUGUACCGCCUGGGGACUACGGCCGCAAGGUUGAA